rnacentral:rRNA from 1 species
UGAGGAAGUAAAAGUCGUAACAAGGUCUCCGUUGGUGAACCAGCGGAGGGAUCAUUACUGAGUUUACGCUCUACAACCCUUUGUGAACAUACCUAUAACUGUUGCUUCGGCGGGUAGGGUCUCCGCGACCCUCCCGGCCUCCCGCCUCCGGGCGGGUCGGCGCCCGCCGGAGGAUAACCAAACUCUGAUUUAACGACGUUUCUUCUGAGUGGUACAAGCAAAUAAUCAAAACUUUUAACAACGGAUCUCUUGGUUCUGGCAUCGAUGAAGAACGCAGCGAAAUGCGAUAAGUAAUGUGAAUUGCAGAAUUCAGUGAAUCAUCGAAUCUUUGAACGCACAUUGCGCCCGCCAGCAUUCUGGCGGGCAUGCCUGUUCGAGCGUCAUUUCAACCCUCAAGCUCUGCUUGGUGUUGGGGCCCUACAGCUGAUGUAGGCCCUCAAAGGUAGUGGCGGACCCUCUCGGAGCCUCCUUUGCGUAGUAACUUUACGUCUCGCACUGGGAUCCGGAGGGACUCUUGCCGUAAAACCCCCAAUUUUCCAAAGGUUGACCUCGGAUCAGGUAGGAAUACCCGCUGAACUUAAGCAUAUCAA